CGGGACGUGGCGCAGUCUGGAAGCGCACCUGAAUGGGGUUCAGGGGGUCGCAGGUUCAAAUCCUGUCGUCCCGACCA
rnacentral:tRNA from 1 species